rnacentral:lncRNA from 1 species
CUUGAACCAAAGACUUCCUGGAUCCAAAGUCAGUCCAGAAUCUACUUUGGCACACUGCCUCUUAUACCACUGUUGUUCAUAAAAAAAUAAGGCUAGAAAGCUUUCUUUCCAAAGAAACAACCUCCAGACUUCCCUGAGGGGAAUCACCUGACCAUAGAAAAGAGGAACUUUUCUAGAACCCAACGUAUGCUUCUUUGGCCCAAUGGACAAGAGCUGCGAUGACGAACUGUUUCACCUAUGAGAUAAAAAAAUGGAUGGAGGAUAAGUCUGAUUGUCUGACUUGACUUUAUCAUGCUGGGAGAAGAGUGACCUCGUCAGGUGCUUGUGUGAAAUGAAAUGCGAUGGAAGGAGAAAGCUAAGACCGGAAAGAGACGGGACAGACAGAAGUAGGACGUAGAGAACAAAUGAAGAUGGAGUGCAAGCAGAAGAGCAGGACGGGUGGAAUUUCACGGACAGACCAGGCUAAAAAACCUGGCAAAUGGCAGGCGUACAGGUUAAGGCAACUUCUGUAGGAACUGUCAUUAUGGGAUAUUUAAGGGGAAGAAACAAGAGGUUGCAUCAUUUGGAUGGUCAGACUUGGGUUUAGGAAUAUCAGUUUGGACCAAGCAUGUUGGCACACACCUGCAAUACCUGCUUAUAGGAAAGGCUGAGGCCGGUUGAUCUCUUGAGUUGGAGAAUAUUCAACUACAGUUGGGCUAAAGCUGUUAUCCAGUGUUGGCACAAAGCCUAGCACAAAUUAAUGGAGGACUACUAAGCUACCUGAGGGGCAAAUUGGUCAGAUUGGAGGAAAAAAAAUAGAUCGGGUUACAUUUUCCUUGCCAAUCAGAAUAAGAGCAGGGACCAGGAGUCACCACUGAACACCACUGAGAAAGAUAAGGAAAGACUUGAAAGAAUGGAAUAUCAAUUUGUCAGCUUUGUGAAGAAUUUAUUUAUAGAUUGAAAUCAG